AGUGAACGCUGGCGGCGUGCCUAAUACAUGCAAGUCGAACGAUGAAGUCCUAGCUUGCUAGGAUGGAUUAGUGGCGCACGGGUGAGUAAUAUAUAGUUAAUCUGCCCUACACAGAGGAACAACAGUUGGAAACGACUGCUAAUACCUCAUACUCCUAUUUGACAUAAGUUAAAUAGGGAAAGUCUUUUCGGUGUAGGAUGAGACUAUAUCGUAUCAGCUAGUUGGUAAGGUAAUGGCUUACCAAGGCUAUGACGCGUAACUGGUCUGAGAGGAUGAUCAGUCACAUUGGAACUGAGACACGGUACAAACUCCUACGGGAGGCAGCAGUAAGGAAUAUUGCGCAAUGGGGGAAACCCUGACGCAGCAACGCCGCGUGGAGGAUGACACUUUUCGGAGCGUAAACUCCUUUUAUCAGGAAAGAAUAAUGACGGUACCUGAUGAAUAAGCACCGGCUAACUCCGUG
rnacentral:rRNA from 1 species